UACGGAGGGUGCAAGCGUUAUCCGGAUUCACUGGGUUUAAAGGGUGCGUAGGCGGGCAGGUAAGUCAGUGGUGAAAUCUCCGAGCUUAACUCGGAAACUGCCGUUGAUACUAUCUGUCUUGAAUACUCGGGAGGUGAGCGGAAUAUGUCAUGUAGCGGUGAAAUGCUUAGAUAUGACAUAGAACACCAAUUGCGAAGGCAGCUCGUUACACGAAUAUUGACUCUGAGGCACGAAAGCGUGGGGAUCAAACAGG
rnacentral:rRNA from 1 species